rnacentral:rRNA from 1 species
CAGUAGGGAAUCUUCCGCAAUGGACGAAAGUUCUGACGGAGCAACGCCGCGUGAGUGAUGAAGGUUUUCGGAUUCGUAAAACUCUGUUGUUAGGGAAGAACAAGUACCGUUCGAAUAGGGCGGUACCUUGACGGUACCUAACCAGAAAGCCACGGCUAACUACGUGCCAGCAGCCGCGGUAAUACGUAGGUGGCAAGCGUUGUCCGGAAUUAUUGGGCGUAAAGCGCGCGCAGGCGGUUUCUUAAGUUCUGAUGUGAAAGCCCCCGGCUUCAACCGGGGAGGGUCAUUGGAAACUGGGGAACUUGAGUGCAGAAGAGGAGAGUGGAAUUCCACGUGUAGCGGUGAAAUGCGUAGAGAUGUGGAGGAACACCAGUGGCGAAGGCGACUCUCUGUCNUAACUGACGCUGAGGCGCG